rnacentral:rRNA from 1 species
GGAAUAUCUUUAGUAACGGCGAGUGAGCGGUAAAAGCUCAAAUUUGAAAUCUGGUACUUUCAGUGCCCGAGUUGUAAUUUGUAGAAUUUGUCUUUGAUUAGGUCCUUGUCUAUGUUCCUUGGAACAGGACGUCAUAGAGGGUGAGAAUCCCGUUUGGCGAGGAUACCUUUUCUCUGUAAGACUUUUUCGAAGAGUCGAGUUGUUUGGGAAUGCAGCUCAAAGUGGGUGGUAAAUUCCAUCUAAAGCUAAAUAUUGGCGAGAGACCGAUAGCGAACAAGUACAGUGAUGGAAAGAUGAAAAGAACUUUGAAAAGAGAGUGAAAAAGUACGUGAAAUUGUUGAAAGGGAAGGGCAUUUGAUCAGACAUGGUGUUUUUUGCAUGCACUCGCCUCUCGUGGGCUUGGGCCUCUCAAAAAUUUCACUGGGCCAACAUCAAUUCUGGCAGCAGGAUAAAUCAUUAAGAAUGUAGCUACUUCGGUAGUGUUAUAGCUUUUUGGAAUACUGUUAGCCGGGAUUGAGGACUGCGCUUCGGCAAGGAUGUUGGCAUAAUGGUUAAAUGCCGCCCGUCUUGAA